rnacentral:rRNA from 1 species
CCUAGCGGCGGACGGGUGAGUAACGCGUGGGUAACCUGCCCUAUACAGGGGGAUAGCCUCGGGAAACCGGGAUUAAUACCCCAUAAAACUCUAAUAUCACAUGAUAUGUGAGUCAAAGAUUUAUCGGUAUAGGAUGGACCCGCGUCUGAUUAGCUAGUUGGUGGGGUAAUGGCCCACCAAGGCGACGAUCAGUAGCCGACCUGAGAGGGUGAUCGGCCACACUGGAACUGAGACACGGUCCAGACUCCUACGGGAGGCAGCAGUGGGGAAUAUUGCACAAUGGGCGCAAGCCUGAUGCAGCAACGCCGCGUGAGCGAUGAAGGCCUUCGGGUCGUAAAGCUCUGUCCUAAGGGAAGAACCAAAUGACGGUACCUUAGGAGGAAGCCCCGGCUAACUACGUGCCAGCAGCCGCGGUAAUACGUAGGGGGCAAGCGUUAUCCGGAAUCACUGGGCGUAAAGGGUGCGUAGGCGGCCAAUCAAGUCUGGGGUGAAAGGCUACGGCUUAACCGUAGUAAGCCUUGGAAACUGGUUGGCUUGAGUGCAGGGGAGGAGAGUGGAAUUCCUAGUGUAGCGGUGAAAUGCGUAGAUAUUAGGAGGAACACCAGUGGCGAAGGCGACUCUCUGGACUGUAACUGACGCUGA